GCUACCUGUAAAAAACCUAAUCAUAGAAAAAUACUCCCUCCAUCCAAAAAAAUGAUGUUCUAAAAUGAAUUUUUGUCCUAAAAAGAGUGUUGUUUUAGCCUCCUAGUGAUGGGUCUCACCUCCUCCGUCUUAUCCACUCGUUCUCUCUCAUCUCCUCUACUCGUCCUUCCUGGUACCCGUCUUCAUCCCCACCACCAGCGGCCAUCCCCACCCCCAAGGUGGUGCUCGGCUCCACCUCCACCAUUGGUGGAGCCCCCUCCUCUUCUCUAAUGGUGGGAUCCAAUGCCUUUGCUCCUUUUCUUUGUUGAGAUUUGGCACCCUCACUUUUCUUUCUCCAUUGGUGGUCCCCCUUCCCUUCUUCUCUUCCGUCGCCCCACCUCCUCUUGUCCCCCACUAGCAAAGGCUAGCGCAGCCUCGAACUGAAGAUGCUACCAUGCUGGAGAGGUUCGCGUGCCAGCAUGGAGGAGCACUUAUCCGAGCGCAUGGGUCAGCGAGAUGGGUAUGACCCACGCGUCGGUGAGGGGGAGACAUGCUCGCCUAGCUAGGUCAAUGAGGCCGCACUUGCUUUGGUGAGGGGGAGGCACACUUGCCCAGGUCUACGAGGAAGCGAGCGUGGCCUUGUGCCAUGGUCGACGUGGCUGCAUGUGUGGCCACAUGCUGGCGAGACUGAGGCACCCUCACCCAAGACGAUGAGGCCGUGGGUGUGGCCCAUGUUAGGCUUUGUUUGGAUGUAGUCGGAUUCACAUCAAUCCACAUGUGUUGAGGUGGAUUGGAGUGGAAUUUGAACUAAAUUCCACCCCAACCCACAUCAAUACACAUGAACUGAAGUGAAUCCGACAACAUCCAAACAAGGCCUUAGGUGGUUGUUAAUGUUGCCUAUGUUUGUAGAAUCGGCUCCAUGUUAGUGUUUACAGGGAACAAUUGUUCAAGAAAACAAUAUAGCCUUAGUGAAAAAUGUUUCGCUGUAAAGUUUGUUGCUCAUUUCUCUAAUCUUUGGUGUGUAGCCUUGCAUAGAUCUUGAUGCUUUUCAGUCUGAAUGAUCUUUUUAUUUGCAAAAUGAUUUGUUCUGGCCAGCUUAUAUCUAUAUAAAUGUGCACUUGCUUAGAAAAUAUUGAAAGCAUGAUUGCAAAAUGGGCAUCUGAUUGUUGUAAAUAAAUUAGUCCCAGUAGACCACGUAUAAUAUACCUGCCUUAUUGCAUAUCACUAUUCUACAUCAUGAUUUAUCUCAUGCCUGCUCUAGGACAUUUUUUCUUUAGUCCAAAUUCUGACAUAAUGAUUCUAUUGUAGGCAUUCAUAUUAAAGGUUAGCUGACCGUCUCUAGAUAUUAAUCUUCAGUUCCACAAGUGAUGGCAUCAAAGGAGCUCAGCCAAGGGGAGAGAUGAAUAAAUCACAGCUAAAGCAUAAUUUUGUAUUUGUCCUUAGGUUACUCGAGCAGAUGAUUACAAGCGUUUCCCCAUUUUUGUUGUUGUCUGUGCAAAGGUUUGCUACGCAUAAAUUCUCGCGUUUGUUUGUUGUGGCUGUUUGCAUCAGGCAACUGUUUUCCUGCUAACAGCAGUACACCCGUUAAUAACCCAAAAAAUACUGUCUUUAUACAACAAUGACUUUAUC
rnacentral:lncRNA from 1 species